ensembl:lncRNA
CUUUGCCUUGGAGAUUCCUGAUUGGCUGACAUUAAGAUGGGAGCUCUUUGGAUUAGAGCUUCAUUGUAAAUUAUUGCUCUUUGGUUCCACCUACAGUUUGAAAGAGGAAUAGCCUCUUAGAAGUACCCUAUGAUCUCUAUUACCCUCUCUGGUUUGAGAGGAAGAAAAAUCAGGAAGACAGCUGCUUUGGGCUAGGUUUCAACUCUGCCCUCAGCUGAUUGAAAUAUGGAUCAUUCUGCUGAAGUCAUUGAAGUCCACUGGCAAGACAAAAGUCAGAACAACUGAUGCUGGCAAUGAAUGACGCGGGCAUCUUCUAUAUCUGACCAAGUUCUAAGUGCUCCAUGGUACCAUCUUCAGCUGCUUUCAUGGCUGUCAGAACAAACUGUUCUCAUCUAACCAUUCCAUGGAAGAAAGUCUUCACAUGCUUGGGCUGUCUAUCCUACUGACAAGUUUUGGCCCAUCUGUAGCCUGUCUGCCUGAAGGUUUUACUGGAGUGUGGCCACUGCAAAUGCUAUAGCUUCUUGACACCACAGAUGAGCACCAGGUGGAUACCAAAGUAUCACUAUAAAUACCCUCCUAUUCCUCCCACUGCUCAAAUGAGAACAGUCACAAAAGAAAUCCAAAGCCUGAAAAUGUAUGUCUUAUUCAUCACUUCUCUGCUAGAAGUGGGAAGCUUAUCCAUCAAUGGUCAUACUGGAUCCAAACUGCUCAUGGUAUCAAUCAGAGUUAAAUCUGUCACAGUUGUUUUCCUUUUCUGUGUUGGAAUCACUGUAGAAAUUGUUCUUCUUGCUUUUUCUCUGUAUAAACUCUUAUGAGUUGUAAGAUUUAAAAUUGUUGUGGUUGUAAACAGUGGCAGUUAGAAGAGUUGGAGACAUAAACUGUAGUGAGUAAAAUAGUGGAAGAUAUAAAUUGUGAUAGAUAUAAGAGUGGGUGAGUAAAUUUGACCACAGAAAAUAUGUUUCACUACAGUGUCUUGGUUUUUAAAUCAAAUAUAAGGUGGUCGCCAGGGAAUAUAUUCCCAAUUAUGAAUAUACCCAAGUCAACUGGGUUUUAUAGAGAUUUUUAAUUAAUAAUACAAUGGGGAAUUAAAGAAAGAGAGAAAGAGUAAGAAAGGAAUAAGUAUGAAGGGCCUUAAGCCAACAUGGCCUAGACCUGAGUCUUAAGAGAGAGAGAUCAGUCAGUCAGUCUUUUAUCACUCACCACAAGGUCUGUCUAAGCAAGGAUUCUAGUGACACCAGGCCAGCUCCAUCUCAGCUGACUUCACUAGAGAGAGUUCCAGCCAGAGUCCUCCUUAAAGAGCCUUCCAGCCAGAGACUGUUCCAAAGGGCCUCUCUCCAGAGCCUCCAGAGGGACAGAGUCCCCUCAGAGGAGCUCCAGCGAGACCUCCUUAGAGAUUGUCCUCCAAGAGCUUCCCUUCUCGAGAGCCUCUCUCAAGAGAUUCUUCCCAAGCAAUCCUCAUCAGAGAUCCUCCAAAAGGAUUCUCUUCUCAAAAGAUUCUGCUUUUUCUUAUACAGGGGGUUUUCUCCUAUGUCACUUCCCCUGAGUCCUUACAUCUACCAAUCACUGUAGACGUUUUCCAAAGGACAAACCAUUCUAAAAACACUGCUGGGUCGACUUAAUCCCUUUACUAAGUUUGAAUCAGAAAAAAACACUGCUGGGUCGACUAAUCCCCUCAGUAAGUUUGAACCAGAGAAAACACAGCUGAGUCAACUAAUCCCCUCAAGAGAAAACCUCUGAAUAAGUUUUCACCUCUUUGCUCCUGGCAAGUUUACAAGUUGCCUGACCUUUAUAGGUACCUAGCAUCCCAUUGUAUCA